UUGAGCCCUUAUCUUUUUGCAUUGGUGAUGGAUGAGGUCACAAGGGGUAUACAAGGAGAUAUCCCAUGGUGUAUGCUCUUUGCGGAUGAUGUGGUGCUAGUUGACGAUAGUCGGACGGGGGUAAAUAGGAAGUUAGAGUUAUGGAGACAAUCCUUGGAAUCGAAAGGGUUUAGGCUUAGUAGAACUAAAACCGAGUACAUGAUGUGCGGUUUCAGUACUACUAGCUGUGAGGAGGAGGAGGUUAGCCUUGAUGGCCAGGUGGUACCUCGGAAGGACACCUUUCGGUAUUUGGGGUCAAUGUUGCAGGAGGAUGGGGGUAUUGAUGAAGAUGUGAACCAUCGAAUCAAAGCCGGAUGGAUGAAGUGGCGCCAAGAUUCUGGC
rnacentral:rRNA from 1 species